rnacentral:rRNA from 1 species
GUGGGGAAUUUUGGACAAUGGGCGAAAGCCUGAUCCAGCCAUGCCGCGUGCAGGAUGAAGGCCUUCGGGUUGUAAACUGCUUUUGUACGGAACGAAAAGACUCCUUCUAAUAAAGGGGGUCCAUGACGGUACCGUAAGAAUAAGCACCGGCUAACUACGUGCCAGCAGCCGCGGUAAUACGUAGGGUGCAAGCGUUAAUCGGAAUUACUGGGCGUAAAGCGUGCGCAGGCGGUUAUAUAAGACAGAUGUGAAAUCGCCGGGCUCAACCUGGGAACUGCAUUUGUGACUGUAUAGCUAGAGUACGGUAGAGGGGGAUGGAAUUCCGCGUGUAGCAGUGAAAUGCGUAGAUAUGCGGAGGAACACCGAUGGCGAAGGCAAUCCCCUGGACCUGUACUGACGCUCAUGCACGAAAGCGUGGGGAGCAAACAGGAUUAGAAACCCUUGUAGUCC